rnacentral:rRNA from 1 species
UACGUAGGGGGCUAGCGUUGUCCGGAAUCAUUGGGCGUAAAGCGCGCGUAGGCGGCCCGGUAAGUCCGCUGUGAAAGUCAAAGGCUCAACCUUUGAAUGUCAGCGGAUACUGCCGGGCUAGAGUCCGGAAGAGGCGAGUGGAACUCCUGGUGUAGCGGUGGAAUGCGCAGAUAUCAGGAAGAACACCGGUGGCGAAGGCGGCCCACUGGAUCGGUACUGACGCUGAGGUGCGAAAGCGUGGGGAGCAAACAGG